UUCCGGUUGAUCCCGCCGGACCCGACUGCUAUCAGAGUGGGACUAAGCCAUGCGAGUCAACAUAGCAAUAUGUGGCAUACGGCUCAGUAACACGUAGUCAACAUGCCCAGGGGACGUGGAUAACCUCGGGAAACUGAGGAUAAACCGCGAUAAGUCACUACUUCUGGAAUGGGUAAUGACUCAAAUCUAUAUGGCCCCUGGAUUGGACUGCGGCCGAUCAGGCUGUUGGUGAGGUAAUGGCCCACCAAACCUGUAACCGGUACGGGCUCUGAGAGGAGGAGCCCGGAGAUGGGCACUGAGACAAGGGCCCAGGCCCUAUGGGGCGCAGCAGGCGCGAAACCUCUGCAAUAGGCGAAAGCCUGACAGGGUUACUCUGAGUGAUUUCCGUUAAGGAGAUCUUUUGGCACCUCUAAAAAUGGUGCAGAAUAAGGGGUGGGCAAGUCUGGUGUCAGCCGCCGCGGUAAUACCAGCACCCCGAGUGGUCGGGACGUUUAUUGGGCCUAAAGCAUCCGUAGCCGGUUCUACAAGUCUUCCGUUAAAUCCACCUGCUUAACAGAUGGGCUGCGGAAGAUACUAUAGAGCUAGGAGGCGGGAGAGGCAAGCGGUACUCGAUGGGUAGGGGUAAAAUCCGUUGAUCCAUUGAAGACCACCCGUGGCGAAGGCGGCUUGCCAGAACGCGCUCGACGGUGAGGGAUGAAAGCUGGGGGAGCAAACCGGAUUAGAUACCCGGGUAGUCCCAG
rnacentral:rRNA from 1 species